rnacentral:rRNA from 1 species
CAGCGGGAAGCCAUAUGGCGACAUAGAGCGGAACCCGAAAACCUGUCUCAGUUCGGAUUGGAGUCUGCAACCCGACUCCAUGAAGCUGGAUUCGCUAGUAAUCGCGCAUCAGCCACGGCGCGGUGAAUACGUUCCCGGGCCUUGUACACACCGCCCGUCAAGCCAUGGAAGCCGGGAGUGCCUGAAGUGCGUGAGCGCAAGCAGCGCCCUAAGGUAAAACCGGUGACUGGGGCUAAGUCGUAACAAGGUACC